rnacentral:lncRNA from 1 species
AUCAACCGGGUCUGACGUCCCGUCGUAGCUUUCGAACUGGGGAAGCUUGAAGUUCGAGGGGAUCGGUUCCUGCAUAAUCAUUUGGGAGAAGGGAGGGUCAGUGCAAAUAUCCUCACCGUAAGCGGGGGGCGCGUGGCGGAGUUCUUCAAUCCGUCGGUUCAUCUACUGGAGCUUCCGGUCCAGAAAAUCCUCUCGACUUCGAGUCUCGAGGGUCCUUUGGCAGAACGGGGGCAGGGAUCUUCCAGGGGUGGAGUCGUGAUCCGAUUGAGGGCUCUCUACCCUCGGAUUUGUUUU